GAUGAACGCUGGCGGCGUGCCUAAUACAUGCAAGUCGAGCGAACGGACGAGAAGCUUGCUUCUCUGAUGUUAGCGGCGGACGGGUGAGUAACACGUGGAUAACCUACCUAUAAGACUGGGAUAACUUCGGGAAACCGGAGCUAAUACCGGAGAAUAUUUUGAACCGCAUGGAUCAAAAGUGAAAGACGGUCUUGCUGUCACUUAUAGAUGGAUCCGCGCUGCAUUAGCUAGUUGGUAAGGUAACGGCUUACCAAGGCAACGAUGCAUAGCCGACCUGAGAGGAUGAUCGGCCACACUGGAACUGAGACACGGUCCAGACUCCUACGGGAGGCAGCAGUAGGGAAUAUUCCGCAAUGGGCGAAAGCCUGACGGAGCAACGCCGCGUGAGUGAUGAAGGUCUUCGGAUCGUAAAACUCUGUUAUUAGGGAAGAACAUAUGUGUAUGUAACUGUGCACAUCUUGACGGUACCUAAUCAGAAAGCAACGGCUAACUACGUG
rnacentral:rRNA from 1 species